GGUCACAACCACAGAGUAUACAGAGGCGGAACUCGCGGCGAUUCCUUUGUUCUUUGUGUCCCCGUGCACGUCAUUUCCACGCGCCACGCAAAUUGCUCUGGCAAGUGUCAUUCGUCGUGUUUUCAGUCAAAAGCAUAGGAAAAACACCGUUCGAAAGUAGAAAAAUAAAUAUUUUUGCGAAGUUGCUCGACCGAUCUUCAUUUUGGGACUCAAAUUUGAAAGAUAAAUGGUAAGUGGUUAUUUUUAUGUAAAAAGAUAUACGUUUAUAGGCUAAAUACAAAGAAAAAAUAGUAUAAUACAAUAUACAAUCUCGGUGCUUGUGAUGUUCUGCCAAGAAGCAGAUUCUCAUUUCGCUAAUUUCGCUAUAAAAUUAAUGCGGGCCAAACGUAUUGCUUUCCUGUCUUUUACAUUAUUAAUAAGAAAGCAUAGGUGCUUAUUUGAAACACGUCCAUCAGGUUCCAUGCAUGUAGCUUUGGGAUUUGUGAGCAAAACUACCUAUGUUUUUAAUACUUUCUGUGCAACUAUAAAUAACCACAUUCACAAAUGUAUUCUCCAGCAAAGAAACGUUUCUUUACGGGUUGUUAUUCCGCAUUUGAAGGCAUGCUUAUGCCUUCAAAGGUCAGAGGUCUUGAACAUGCAGAAUAGCAGAGACUACUGUCAUUGACAUCCUUUGUCACAAAAUUAUGAUGGCAUAUUGGACAGCUAUGUUGGAUAAGGCACUUCCUUAAUAAAUAGCCUAACACAUAAGUUCAUGCAGACUAAGUUUUGUUCAAUUUCAUUUGUUUUGUAGUCGGUAUCUUCAACUGCUUGGAUUAGUGGUGGGCUUGUCUAAUCAUUCCCUGCAGAUAAAUCAGAUUGGCUAAGGUGAAAUGCAAUCAAAUAGGCAUCAGAAUCUUCAGCACAGCUGCCAAUUGAAAGUGGUGUCAAAAUGUUAUCUACAAAUAAUAUGCAAAAUGCUCUGGUGAACUGGAUGGGACUAAUGGGUUGUCACAAUCCCCCCCCCCUCCCCCCUCCAUGCUGCCUAAUGAAGCCAAAGAAGUUCUCCAGAGGAUCCUGGUUGAGACAUCUUGUCAUGAGAAACUCCAAGGAAUGAUGUUGGUUAAGGUCUUGAAAUGUAAAUACUACAGUGUAAAUACUACAAUGAAAUGUAGAUACAACAGUGUAAUUGGAGUUUAAAAAAUACAAAGUUUAUUUUAAUAAAUGUUUAUUUUAUUUCACAUUUAUACACAUUUAAGAACUUAAAUUAUUCAAAAACUAAAUAAAUAUGUGUUCAAUGUCAAUGAAUAUUGCUAUAUUCUAAAUUUUUUAUUCCAAAAUAGGCAAUAACUGUUUCCUUUAUAGUUGACCCCACAUGUCAUGAAAAUUAAUACUAAAUAAAAAAAGUAGCCAAUGAUCCAUGUUUCCUCUUACAGUCUCUGCUUUAUAUGAAAAGUUAAAUACUAUGAAUAAUUGCAUUGUUCCUUUUAUUGAUAAAGAGUUUCCCAUUAAAAGAGAAAGUAUUCCCAAUUAAUACUUUCCCUUUAAAGUCAUGUGCCCACCCCUUGAUGAGUAAAAUUGUCUGCUGUUAGACAGAGUAAAAUAAUAAAGUAGGGUGCAUCAGGGCACCAAGUUGGGUAACUAACAAGUAAAAUUGUCUAGCUUUACAGUACAUCUUCCAAGGGGGGCUGGAUUUGGAGAGCAGGCCUACCACUUUUAGUUGCAUUUGGGGGGGGCUGCUUUUUUGAACCUCAAUUAAACUAUUACAGUAAUCCGACGGCCUGUCUAUAUGGUCUCCGGGUACUAGGGAAAUCUUAUCCCCCCCCCCCGAGCCACCCUGGCAAGGCAAAACUAUAUUCAUAUCCUAUUAUAGCAACUGCCAUGCAAGUGUUUGCAUGGAAAGUUUUGAACUUGUCUUGCCUAGUGGGAUGAUCAGGUAGUAAGGUCACUCCGUCAGGGGGUACAGCAUCUCUACUACUCAAGAUUAAUUAUAUAAACAUUGCCUGAGGCUAUGUAAAAUUGAUAGGCAUUCCAAUAUAAGAUCAAAUAGUCUCAGGUUUUCCCCAAUCAGAAGAACAAAUUAACAUAGUUGUAAGAAUCUGCAUCUGAUUCAUUGUAAUGAACAAUGUAGUUCAACAGGAAUGGUUGGCAAUCUAGAAAAGCAAAAUAAAAAAUAAACAGAUUAGAUUUAAUAUUAAACAUGCACAGACUUGGCAUGUUUGAGAAAUUAUUGACCUUUGAGAGCCAAAAAAAGGUUGUCAUUGCACAAUAACCAAUGCACUAGUCUAGGGGAAUCACUAUAAAGUAUAAUUUGACCAAUCCCUCACCAUUGGGUCAACAUAUAAGUUAAAUAAAGUCUAUAUGAGAACUUUAGAGUACUGUGGCUCCAUGCCCAAGUCCAUCAGUCCAUGUUGAAUGUUGAUGUCAGGCCCGGAGCUACGGGGGGGUGUGGGGGGGUGUGACACCCCCCCAGUAAUUGUAUUUAGUCGGCAGGACUGCUAUUCAGUCGGUAGAACUGCUAUUCAGUCGGUAGAACUGCUACUUGGGUUAAAUAUUUUUGGCGCAAAGGGCAAGAAUGUGGUG